CGAGAGCGUUACUUCUUAGUCUGGCGUCACUUCCUGCUCGCGCGGUGAAAGUUCAGGUGUCAAUUAAAGGUGGUCUCACGCGCAAUCUACAACGGUCGAUUAGAAAACAAAUUGUAAAACUGUCGUAAAACUUGUCGAAAACUAAAAGAAAGUAAGAUCAAUAGAAAAAGGCACAAAGAAAAACAUAAAAUGACGAUGUUUUCUUCACUAUCAGUGUCGACUUGAGGGCAUGCUAAACAGAAACAUGACACCAUUAAACAGCUCCUGCUACUUGGACUCACUAGUAUCUGCUGAGCGUCCGGUCAUUGUUCCCAGGAAUCAUUCUUCCCUCAGGACGCCCGUGUGGAACAGUACGAGAGGGGACCGAAGCUCGACCUCAAACCUCCAGCCACCUUUGCCCACCCACACAGGCUGUUAUGUAUCCAUGCUCACGUCAAGCCCAGGCCUGCACGCGCCAAUUAACUCCCAGCCAUAUGGAUUUCAACUGUGGCUUUUGGCAGAUGUUUGUCCAACCCAUCGCUCAAUUUGGCCCUCCAGAGAUUUGAUGUCACCUUUUGGGAGUUUUGGAGAUUUCUGUCAGAUUUUGAUUAUCAGUCUUCAUCAAGUGAAUUGGUACUUUCCCAAAGGUGAAAUUAUGGCCCAGUGUGGCUGUUAUUUAUCCAUGAAAGUGAACUCAGUUGUCCUCGGUGCCAGCAGUUCACACAUGGCAUACUCCCCCAAUGUUCACCUGUAAAAUUUAUGCUCAGAUUAGAUGCACAGAAUGGAUUAUAUUGAUGUAAAAUG
ensembl:lncRNA